AUACACUUGGGGAAUAGUACUUCUGCAGAGCCUCUCUGGGAGGGAAGUUAUCAAUAUGAACAUGGAGCAACCAACAACAUUGGACAAAAUUGCGAAAUCGCUGAUGAGGGAAAGACGGGCAAUGGUAUUUGUUGAUCCAAAACUUCAUGGAGAUUACUCAACAGAGGCUUUCCAGCACAUUGGAGUUGGCUAUUUCAUGCAUUGAACCAAAGCAAAAUAGACCCUCCAUUGAGAAAGUUGUUGACAAGCUGGAAGAUGCACUAGCUAUAACAGCAAGCAAACAUGUUGGACGGUUAGGAAAAUAUGAAAAUUCAUGAGUCGCACAAAGGCAAACGAUCUCACAGAAAACAAGACUGUUUCACAUCUUAUCUACGAAAGUAUAAAAAAGAUCUCAUGAAAACAGGAUUGCAUGUUGUAUUAGGUCAGCCAAAGUAUACAAAAGAAAAUACAAAAACAAAGAUUGCAUGUUG